AGUGAACGCUGGCGGCAGGCCUAACACAUGCAAGUCGAGCGCCGUAGCAAUACGGAGCGGCAGACGGGAGAGUAACACGUGGGAACGUGCCCUUUGGUUCGGAACAACCCAGGGAAACUUGGGCUAAUACCGGAUAAGCCCUUACGGGGAAAGAUUUAUCGCCGAAGGAUCGGCCCGCGUCUGAUUAGCUAGUUGGUGGGGUAAUGGCCCACCAAGGCGACGAUCAGUAGCUGGUCUGAGAGGAUGAUCAGCCUCACGUGGGACUGAGACACGGCCCAGACUCCUACGGGAGGCAGCAGUGGGGAAUAUUGGACAAUGGGCGCAAGCCUGAUCCAGCCAUGCCGCGUGGGUGAUGAAGGCCCUAGGGUUGUAAAGCCCUUUCGGCGGGGAAGAUAAUGACGGUACCCGCAGAAGAAGCCCCGGCUAACUUCGUGCCAGCCGCCGCGGUAA
rnacentral:rRNA from 1 species